rnacentral:rRNA from 1 species
CCUAGGGAUGCAGCAGUGAGGAAUAUUGCACAAUGGGGGGAACCCUGAUGCAGCAACGCCGCGUGGAGGAUGACGCAUUUCGGUGUGUAAACUCCUUUUAUAUGUCAAGAAAAUGACGGUAGCAUAUGAAUAAGCACCGGCUAACUCCGUGCCAGCAGCCGCGGUAAUACGGAGGGUGCAAGCGUUACUCGGAAUCACUGGGCGUAAAGGACGCGUAGGCGGGUUGGAAAGUCAGGUGUGAAAUCCUACAGCUUAACUGUAGAACUGCACUUGAAACUUCUAAUCUAGAGUAUGGGAGGGGGAGAUGGAAUUAGUGGUGUAGGGGUAAAAUCCGUAGAUAUCACUAGGAAUACCUAAAGCGAAGGCGAUCUCCUGGAACAUUACUGACGCUAAGGCGUGAAAGCGUGGGGAGCAAACAGGAUUAGAUACCCCGGUAGUC